rnacentral:rRNA from 1 species
AUUGAACGCUGGCGGCGUGCUUAACACAUGCACGUCGAACGAAGUGGCGAACGGGUGAGUAAUACGUGAGUAACCUGCCCUCCUUUUUGGGUUAAGCCUUGGAAACGGGGUCUAAUACCGAAUAAAGGGGGAUGGGCUCGCCGCCUAUCAGCUUGUUGGUGGGGUGAUUGCCUACCAAGGCGGUGACGGGUAGCCGGCCUGAGAGGGUGACCGUCCACAUUGGGAUUGAGAUACGGCCCAGACUCCUACGGGAGGCAGCAGUGGGGGAUAGUGCACAAUGGGCGAAAGCCUGAUGCAGCGACGCCGCGUGUGUGAAGAAGGUCUUCGGAUUGUAAAGCACUUUAAGUUGGGAGGCGUUACCAACAGAAUAAGCACCGGCUAACUUCGUGCCAGCAGCCGCGGUAAUAC